rnacentral:rRNA from 1 species
UACGUAGGUGGCGAGCGUUGUCCGGACUUACUGGGCGUAAAGGGAGCGUAGGCGGACUUUUAAGUGAGAUGUGAAAUACCCGGGCUCAACUUGGGUGCUGCAUUUCAAACUGGAAGUCUAGAGUGCAGGAGAGGAGAAUGGAAUUCCUAGUGUAGCGGUGAAAUGCGUAGAGAUUAGGAAGAACACCAGUGGCGAAGGCGAUUCUCUGGACUGUAACUGACGCUGAGGCUCGAAAGCGUGGGGAGCAAACAGGAUUAGAUACCCCGGUAGU